rnacentral:lncRNA from 1 species
UGGGAGCAGCCUCUCCAUAAAUGGGGGUAAGGCUAGCCGACAUUCACCUCUCCCAGACCCUGCGUAAAGCGGGAGCCUUGUGCACUGGGUACGACCUAAAAAUUCAUAUCUUUUUAUCAGCCGACCCCACUCAGUGGGAAAAGGCUUUGUUGUUGUUGUAUUCAUAUCUUUUUAUCAACUGUGCAGUAGUGCUUUUCAUCAGUAAUUCUAAGCUCCACUACAUUAUUGACAUGUUGAUUGUUGUUUCAGGUCGUUCGCUGUUUUGAAGAUAACGAUGUUGUUCAUGUGAGUGGCAAAGUUGAUCCUAAGGCAGAUAUUGAUGUUAUCAACUUGGAGCUUAUUUUCUCAGAUCUAGACCAGGUUUGCUAAUUAAAAUUCCUCUAUAAGCUUACCAUUAUUCUCAAACCUUCUGAUGUGGUAGAUCCUGAUUCCUUGUCUGUCCCUUUCUGGUCUUUGCUUGUAAAAUAAACCAGUUGGUCUAAAACCAGUUUGAUUUGAAAUUGGGCAUAAAUGAUGAGCGCCAGGACUUAAAAUCAAUUCAUGAGCUUGUCAAUUGAUGAUUUAUGGGAAGUAUUUAGGCAGUGAACUAAUCGCGGUGCCUUAUCCUAGCUGUAUGAAUAAGACAACCCUCGACACACCCAUCCAUAUAUAUGUAUGCAUGUAUUUAAUGCAAACUAUAUUGUUAAAUGCUAAUGCCACUUUCUGGUUUAAAGUUGAUGAUGUAGAUAAUUAUUUUUUAUGAGAACUCUGUCUUGAGAAUUCCUUGUCUUAACAUCUUAAACUUUUUUCUUAGGGGGCCUCUAUCAUCUGCUAUUUGUGUUUAAUAUUAAUACCAGCUUGCUAAGAUGGUAUGAGCUGAUUGAACUAAAUUGUCUUAUUCACAAGAAAUGCAGAUUGAGAAGAGAAUGGAGAAGCUGAAAAAAGGAAAGGCAAAAGACUCACAAACCAAAGCUAAGGUAUAGUUUUAUCCAAUGCUAACUUACUGUACAGUGCACAAAUAUGUGCUAUCAUCACACUAUAUCCCCUCAAUAUUUUUUUCUCCUUUAUUUCCCAAAUUAUUAAGGUUUUACAAAAUCAUAGACUCAGAGUUCUAAUUUCAGGAGGAAACAGAAAGGUCCACCUUAGACAAAAUUCAGAAUGCACUGAUGGAUGGAAAACCAGCACGAUCAGUCGCUUUAACAGAUUUGGAAAAAGAUGCUGUGAAGCAUCUUUGCUUGCUUACAAUGAAACCUAUUAUAUAUGUUGCUAAUGUUGCAGAAUCUGAUCUAGCUGAACCUGAGCUUAAUCCUCACGUCAAAGAAGUGAUGAAUCUUGCUCCUGAGUUGCAAUCUGGAGUUGUGACUAUUUCUGCACAGGUUUGGUGAUACAUGAGAACCUAAGUAUUAUUGUUUGAAAUUGAGCAAAUUAUCGCAACAUGCCUUUCUCUCUGUUUAAAAUGUUUGAUAGGAAUCUAGUGAUACUUUGUCUGAGACUAGCGGAUCUGUGUUCGUACAUUUUUGUUUGCCUUCAAUUAUUACACUCAAACAUGUGAACUAGGUAGUUUGCAUUUGCAGGUUGAGUCUGAGCUCACUGAAUUACCAUAUGAAGAAAGAACAGAAUUUUUGGAAUCUCUUGGUGUUGGUGAAAGUGGUCUCGGAAACCUUAUCAGAGCAACAUAUAGCGUUUUGGGGCUACGUACUUACUUUACAUCCGGAGAGAAGGUUAUAAGAAUGAGCUUGUGAAUUUUUCUGAUUGUGGUUAACAUUUUUCAUUUUUGUUACGAAGGGUGUUGCUAUGUUGUUUACAGGAAACAAAAGCAUGGACCAUACUUGCAGGUGAGCUUUAGUUUUGCUAAAAUGUAAUUUGUGUACUAAACACAUAUAAUUAAAUACCUCUGACGGGACCUUGAAUGCUUCAACCAAGUUCUAGCAUAGGCUAUAUGCUGUUAUCUAUAUCAUAUUUGGAAACUUGUACACAUAGAAUUUGUUUACUGAUGAGUGUAGGUUGAAAAUUUUCUGUUUUGAAUUGCCGUUGCCAUCUUUUUUUCUUUGUAUGGAAAAGAAGGUCCCUUGCUGCCGCUACUUAGAUAGGUUAGGAAGUUCGAUUAACAAGUUCAUCAUAUAAUGUUGUUCUCUGAUUCUUGUAUUUGGUUGAUUUAGGAAUGACUGCACCCCAAGCUGCUGGGGUCAUACACUCUGACUUUGAGAAAGGUUUCAUUCGAGCUGAGACGGUAAGAAUCAUAGAUAGAGGUUGUAACUCUUUCAUCCACUAUAGGUAAUAGCUAUUUUUAAAUUUGUUUGAACAAUUGGUUUGAAUCACUUAAUUUGAAGUGAGCUUUGAACCAUUCAAUUCUACCUAAGUUUUGUUUAAUGUUUAAGACAGCAUAUAGCAGUUAAUAUUCGUAAACUCGUUAAUCUAAAUUAAAAUAAUGGAGUGCUAAUUUUAUAAUUUCUUUAUAAAACAGUUUAGCUAUUUAGUAAAGUUUUUAAUACUGUUACUAGAACAAUGAAACUAAGAGAUCAUGUCCUUGCACAUUAAAAUGAUCCAUGGGAAAUAUGAAAAUAAUAACACUUUUUGUUCUUUAUUGUUAGGUGGCUUAUGAUGAUUUUGUCGCUGCUGGUUCGCUUGCUGCAGCAAGGGAAAGAGGAGUUGUAAGUUUUCUGCUUGUUAUUAGGCUUUAAUUCUCUUGUUUGCUAGUAGCAACACUUAUAAUGCUUUCCAACUUUGGUCAAGAUUAUAGAGCCGUGGAUUUAUUUCUGGGCACUAUAACUAUCACACUAGAGGUCGCACUUGGUGCGAUGGCAAGUGCCUUCGCCCAUGAGCUGUAGGUCUCGGGUUCGAGACUUGGGAGCAGCCUCUCCAUAAAUGGGGGUAAGGCUAGCUGACAUUUACCUCUCCCAAACCCUGCCUAAAGCGGGAGCCUUGUGCACUGGGUACGACUAUAACUAUCACACUGGUGCGAAGCAAUUACAACUUGAUUUACUUAAGUAAAAUCUUAAACAACGUUAAUAAGUCAACUUGUCCCACCCUCUAUGUUUCCUACAACCAGUGCCCUUAUGAGAAAUGUGAAUUUCUGUUUUUGACUUUUAAAUUUAAGGGUUGCAGCAAGGCCAGCAAGGUAUAGACACACGUUAGACACUGUUGUCGGUGAAAGUCUCUUGUCCGUAAAUAUUAUUCUAGAUCAAACUGAGUCACCCAAUCUACUCUGAUGUUUGCAGUUGAGAUCUGAGGGCAAAGAUUACAUUGUACAAGAAGGAGACGUGAUGCUGUUUCGUUUUAACGUCUAACAAGCUCAUAUGGUUUCACGGAAACAGCUUUAUCUUUCGGGGGGCCAACUAGAUGCAGCUUACUUCACAAGAUGGACGACAUUGAUUUACAUUCAAGUCCUGAGUUUGGUAUGAUGAAGUAUUCUUUUGUUAUACGUCGAGAUUACCAAAUUUUGCUUGAAGAGUAAAUAGCUCAAUCGACUGUUGAUGUUUUGGAAACUAAGAUUUUGAAAUCCUAAUUAUUCAAGAAAGAAUAUGGAAAUUCAACAAUUAAGGGUGGAUCGAAUUUACUGGACUUCAUUGUAUUUUAGUAAACAUCAUUGCAUUCGUAAUCUUUAUAUAAAUAGGUGAUUCGGAGAACGCUUGGAGGCAAUUUUCAUGCCCUGUCAUGCUUCGUAUCGUGUUUAUAGUCUCAUCUUUGAGUCCUAUAUGAUUUCACCGGAUUCCUCAUGAUGUCGCAAGUGAACUUAUGCUCGGUUUUUUCUCCGGAGUUUAAAUCAAUUUCGGGGUGGGAGGUAUUUUCAAAAUGACAUUAAAAUGUACUGCAAAAAAAAUAAAUUCUUAAGCAGUAAGUGAAGAAGAUCAGACGUCCCCGUCAACAACUAAAAAUAAUUUGUCUUAAGUUUGGUUUCAAAGGGACAAGAUUUAGUGAUUUGGCCAAAAAAAGGAGACAUUGAUUUAUCACUUGGCCCUGCUGCUUUAAGUACUUUUGAUUAUUCGAUUAAUGAUGUUUUUGCUUCUAAGCAAGUGAAGAUCCCCUUGCUGCUGCUAUAUAUAUGCAGACUUGGAACGCAAGGCUAGAGAAUAAACCAUUCAUUAUUUUCCAAAACACACACCUUGUCUUAGCAGAAUUUUAUGUGAUUUGGUCCCACUUGCAUUAAUUAUUUGAUUAUGACAAAGUGGUUAUGUUUACGUGUGAUGAAUGACAUGACACCACGACUGGAAACUAACACAAAAUUGACGGAUUAGUGCUAAAUACAAAGAAUGUGUUUGGGUUAUGGUAAUGUCGGUCGAAAUGCUCAUGGUUGCUAAUCCAUAAGUGAUCCGUGUCUAAGAGAAGAACUUGCGUGCAAAUGGGGCAUGCACCCGUUGUUCUUGUCUCACUUCUUCACUUGACGCAUCACAUAAUGAGAGAGAUAGAACAAGGAAGUUUUUCUGUAUUUAGGGUUUUAUACAUCUUAUCCGAAAACGACAUGGAUUAAAUUGUUGUUGGUUUAGUUAGCCGAAAUACAUGCAUCUCAAAUCAAACAAGGUUGAUAUACAAUUUAUGCCCGAAAGACAUGCAUCUCAAAUCAAACAAGGUUGGUAUACAAUUUAUGCCGGAGGUUUACUACCAAUAUUACCGAGAUCUUUUAUGAUGUUAAUGGUGAGCCAUGUUAGACUUAACCUGAAAACAACGCAGAUUAAAUUUGUGUUGAUUUAAUUAGUCGAAAAACAUGCACCUCAAAUCAAAACGAGGAUGACGUGUCAAUCUAAAUGGGAGGAGAUGGAGUCAUUUCAACUGGAUCAUGAUGAGAUGCUCUCAACAUAUUUGGUGAGUGGCCGAGCAUGUUUCCGGUGAUUGUCAAGACACAGCAACAACAAGCAGUUUACUGCCACAUCACACAACAAUACAUGACUGGUGGAAUCCAGCUAGCGUGUUAGGAGAAAAUGAUAACGGAUGUAUCUGCAUUUUUCAUUCGUAAUCAACACUUUGUCCAUCCUAAUUGCAUUAUUAACUCCAAGGGUCCCAUGCAAUCAUCAAUUUUUCUUGCAUUAAUUUUAUUUAAAUUACGAAAGAGGGAUUCGAACUGGAGUCCAUAAGGGGUUCGAUAAACCUUCUUUCAUAUAAUUAAUUGAUUGCUGCCCUGAAAAGGGUUUUCUCGACGGGAAUGGAUUGUUGCAAAAGCGUUUCACCUAGCAUUUUAAUUAUAUUGUUGUUUAAUAUUUAUCCAAGGGAAAUUUCUUCAAUGAUACGUAGUAUUAAAUGAUACCGAAAACGAAUGACUAAGAUUGAAAACAGAAAAUCUAGUAGUAAUAUAAAUCAAAUUUAAAGGUUAAAACACUCAUAACUUUGAAUGCUUAUAUCAUUGAAGCCGGACUCUUAAGUGAGUUUUAGUUGUGUCCGCUGUUGCUUGUGAUUUAUUAUAGUUAUCUUUGAAGUGACCAACUGAGAUGAUGCUUGAUUAACAUUUAAAUUCCUCAGCCUAGUUGAGUUUUGGUAGGUAGACUAUUAGAUAAUUAAAAUUUGGAGUAGGAUUCCCUUUCCUCUAAAUUUCCUCCCCUCCAAUUCUCUCAUCUCACAUUUAUUUUUUACUCUCUCUAUAAAAAAAAAGUCACACCAAAUGUUGACGUGGGCUUAAUCGUGACUUUCAAAUAGGAAGAGAUUGGAGGGAAACGAAAUUUAGAGAGAAUAAAAUCUUACUCCGAGCUUGUGCUUGCUUGUCUGUCUAUUGUACCUAGGUGUGUAAAAGAAGCCCCCCCGCACCAGGCACAACAUUUGCAUUCAGCAAAACAGAUGACUUGUUUUGGUCACUCAAAAAAUGUUCGGUUGCACAUUUUAUAGACCCCACUUGUUUUUCCAGCAGCGGAAAACAACGACUUUGCACCAACUCAACCCAAUCCUCACAUCUUAACUCCUACUUUUGUGAUUUCAUGAGUGUCUUCCAAGCCUCCUAUAUAUUUCCCAUCACCCUAAUUACUUCUCCAUCCAAAUUAACACCCCAUCUCUCUCUCUCUCUCUCUCUCUCUCUCUCUCUCAUCGUUCAUAAAAAAAAAUAAGGGUCUUUAAGGAUGAAGAAGAUGAAUAUUCUGCUAAGGAAGUGCAAGAGCUUGUCAAGGCAGCUAGGGAGAUCGUCGUCGUAUAGUAGCCUAAGGUCGAAAUCUACGAGGGAAGCUAUAUUGAGGCAUGAAAAUCAUGAGCUUCAUCCUCAUCAUCAUCACCAAUCUAUAAUAUAUGUAGGAAGCACGAGGAAACGUUACGUGAUUAACUCAAAGUACCUCAACCAUCCGUUGUUAGAUGCCUUGAUCAACAAGUCAUCGAAGCAAAAGCGAGGAGAGGAGGAUGAUAUAUUUGUCAACUGUGAGGUGGUUUUGUUUGAUCACUUGUUGUGGAUGCUGGAGAAUAAUGCAGAAGAUCCCAGCUUUGGUAGCACUUCAGAGUCAUUGGAGGAAUUGGCUGCCCUCUAUGUGUUCUGAAUAAUUAGGGCUGUUGGUGUUUGAUCUGCUAAUUCAAAGAUCAUUCCUUUGCUGCUAUUGAUGAUUAUGUUUAAUUUAUUUAUUUUUUGUUGUAACCACAAUGGCGUUUAAUUUGAUGGAUCAUGCCAGUAUGAUUUUAUUUGUGCUUGUCAUGGGGUUAUGAUGUUGUACUCUAUCAAUAUUCUUGAAAUUCUCUCAUAUAAAAUUAAAAUAAACGUCCCUAAGGGUCUAUUUGAAGCAUGUUAAAAUGAUUUGUAUAUGCUUUUGAUACUUGGGGAGUGCCCAAUAAUAAUAAUUUGGUGCUGUUAUUAGAGUGUAUAAUCCUUUUUUUAUUAAAUGCUUAUAAUAGUUCUUGAAUAAAUACUAAACUAAGACCAUCUCAAACGGAGAUGUCAAAUUUUAAAUAUUAAAUUUAAAUUUGAAGGCAUGUGUGGUAUUUUGAUCUUUUUUUUUUAUUUUAAAUUUGUUCUUCAUCCAAUAGGUCAAAUUUAAACUAUUAUUUACUUUUCAUAAUUGCAAUAAGUAUUUUUAAAAUAAAAAAUUAAUAAAAUGAUGAAAAACAAUUAUUAAUCACUAAAGAAAACAUAAGGUAUAUCAAACCAGUAUCGAAAAAUAUCAUGCCAAGGAAUUGACAUUUCGGUUGAAAAACAUUAAUAUUGUAUUUUUCACUGUUUUGCUUAUGUGGAGCUUUUGACUUCUCUUUUAGAGAUGCUUUAAUGAGUCUCCAUGCUUCUUACCAUUAAGUAAGCCCUAGUGUUUUGUGUUUAUUGCCCUAUUAACUACGUGGUAAUGCUAGAGCCUAUAAAUGAUGGAUGAGAUAUUCACAUACCUAUUUUUACUUUUUAUAUACGAAUUAGAUAAAUUGAAGAAGAUUAAAUAAUAUAAUUUAACAAGUGAUGUGUGAGAAGUAAAAAAAAGUGUGUUUAUAGCAUACCUCUAAAUAAAACCCUUUCUCUCUCAUUUUCUUCACCCUCGUCUCACACUCCACUUUCUCCUGCGAUCAUCCUCCCUACUCCUCCACUUUAAUUGUUUUUCUUAUUGUCCAAAUAAAGGUCUUGUGGUGGAAUUUUGAAAUUUUAUAUCAUGCGUAUGGAUUUGGACUUAUACAACGAUUCAAUUGAGUUGUUGUGUUCUGGAAUGUACAAGUCAAGAUAUAUAUACACACAUUGCUGCAUCCGUUUGAGAGCUUUGCCAAACUACUGAGGGCUUGCUUCUCUUUAAAUAGAACAAGAUACUCGCAUUUUAAUCCAAUUGUCUACAUACUUUUUGAAAGAUAAAUAAAACCAAACUAAACCAAACUGAGAACGAAAUUUUUUUUAUUUUGGGACAAAACCCCUAAACCAAACCUAAAUAGAACCAAGCCAGUCCAAUUAAUAAGUUUGUUUAUGCUGGGCCGAUCCCAAAGGAGGGAGAUUGUCUGCCUUACUGUUUGGAUGCAUUUCUCAUAUUCUCUUAUUUUGGGCAGUUAUUAUUAAACCACGUUAAUAUUUUAUAUUAAUUUUCUAUAGAGAUAAUAAGACAAAAAGUAAUAAGAAUAUAAAAUAUUGACGUGGCUUAACUGUGACCGCACAAAUAGAAAUGAAUAAAAAGGGCAUGCAAAGAGGAGGGCAGACGGAUCAGGAUCCUCUCCUGAGCAAAUGGAGAGGAUCCUCCGGACCGGAUCCAUCAGGCCUUUCAAAUUUUAUUCAACGGUUAUAAUUAUUAUAAUUUUUAAUAAAACUUGCUGUUUAUAGCCGUUAGAUAAAUUUUGAACGGUCUGAUUGGUCCGAUCAGGAGGAUCCUGUCCAUUUGCUCAGGAGAGGAUCCUGAUCCGAGGGCAGACAAUCCACCUCCGAUCCCAAAUUCACAUAGUUUUUCUUCUGUCCUGUUUUAUUUUGCCGAUUAAACGUGUCAGCGGACCGCAAUACUAGUGGAAGAAGAUCAGCACGCAAAAUAUUCUUUUAGUAAAAAAAUUCCCUUUAUACGAUCUCCCUAUAACUACCAAACUUGCUGACAAAAUUAAAAAUUCGAACUUUCAACUCCCCAUAGCUUCUCCAUUAAGCUACUCGCGAUGGCCGAAGAGACAAGAGUAUGAUUUUUGAAGUUCUUGGAGCCCAUUUCUAGGGUUUGCCUAAUUUCCCCUUUUAGAUUUUCAAGACUCCAUUUUUUGUUUUCUUUCUAUUUUUAUUGACUCGUUUUUUUUACUUGUGUUGCCAGUGCUGAUUAAGAUAGACGAAGAGAGACAAGUCGGAGCUGUCUGUCGAUUCACUUCGCCGCCGUCGCGCUCGUGUUUCUGGGUAUUUUUUCGUUUUAGCUGUGCUUAUUUUUUAUUUUCUGCCAACUUUAGCUUAUUUUCUUUGUUAAAGGGGGUUUAUUUUGGAUUUUGUUUAUGUGGGUUAGCAUUGCUUUGUUUGAUAAGGGUUUUUAAUUUCUUAAAUAUAUGGGUUUUUAUUAGAAUUUUUUCAUUUAGUAUAAACCCAUGUUUAGUUUUUUACUCAAAUUUUGUGCAGUAUUUGCAGUAAUUUAUCACAUUUAAUGGCCAAUUGUGAACAUGGGAUUAUUGCUUUUGCCGUAAAAACUACUCCUUUGAUAAUUAUUUUUCACUAGUGUAAAGAAUUGAGAAGGUGAAAGAUUGGAAAUUUAGGGUAAAUCCCAUCUUCGAAGAGAUGAUUUGUUUAUGCAUGAACCAGAAUGUGAGGGAAUUAUUUGUUGUUUAUGGAAUAUAUUGCUUAAUUAAACCGAAAGCAUAUAAUGUUGUGUAUGAAAAUCUAUUAGUUAAUUUUUGAACUAUUGAUUUUGCUUACUUGUGAUGUGGGCUUUGGUGCAAACAAGAUUUAGGUGGCUCAAAUUUACUUACGUCUGUUAUCUCAGUGUCAAGUGAAGUAGACAUGCCAGACCUUUCAAUGGAUAUCAUUGCCGAUAUACUCUCUCGACUUCCUCUCAAGUCAGUGUGCCGAUUCAGGUGCAUAUCAAAGUCAUGGCUCCGUCUAACCAGUGAACCCAACUUCACCAAAACCCAUCUAGAUCGGUUCCAGAAGCAAAAAAUCAUUUUCAGUUCUGAAAAUUCGUUAUUCUCCUUGGACCCUGAAGCACCUAUAGAUGAUGAUAUGUUGCCAUUGGAGAUUGAUUUUCCACUCAAGAACCACCCCAACACUGAGUGGGUUCAUGUGUUUGGUACUUCCAAUGGUUUGGUCUGCAUCAUGCCUCAGCCAGAAACCUUCUUUAUAUUCAAUCCUACCACUAGAGAGUCCUUGAGAGUGCCAGAUUGCCCCAUUCCAAGUCAUAAAUGUCCUCCACAACCUCAAGAAGUAGGGUUCAAUCAUGCAUAUGGUUUUGGUUAUGCUCAUUCUGUUGAUGAUUACAAGUUUUUCACGAUUGCUUAUGGGUGCAUGAUUCUCAUUUUUUCAUUGAGAAGCAAUUCGUGGAAAAGGGUUCAAGACUUUCCUUACAAACAUCAUUUGGAGGGUUCAGGGACGUUUCUCAAUGGAACUGUCCAUUGGUUAUGCGGACAGCUUGAAAAUGGUGGUAACUGCGUCAUUGCUGCUUUUGAUUUAGCGGAGGAGAAGUUCUCAGACUUGCCCACACCUAAUUCUGUCACUGAUUAUCAGACGUUUACAACUGGCGUUCUGGAAGGGAGUCUUUGUUUACUAUACCAGCAUAAUAGAGAAUACUCAUUUUGGGUUAUGAAGGAUUAUGGUGUGAAAGAGUCGUGGACUAGAAUUUUUAUAGCUGAACCAUAUUUGUCUACUUCUUUGAAGCCAUUAUGUUACUGGAAGAAUAACAAGAUCUUACUGGCGAGGAGUUGGAAACAGUUACUUCUGUGCAAUCCAAAUGAUGGGACUUGCAAAAAUUUCUUGGCAAAUGGCCUUCCAGAUAAAUUCUGUGCUGAUGUGUAUGUGGAGAGCCUCAUCUCACCGAGUUAUCACAAGAAUUUGCAGUUGCGUCUAAUUCCGAUUACAUUCUACACAUUUCUACUCCUAGUGAAUAUGAACUACUUGCUUCUUGUAACUGAGCUGAGCAAGGUUCUGACCAAGACAAGUAACUGAGCAAGUUGAUCCAGUGGUUUAUGAAGUCGCUCCUUGUUGACCUUUCACUAGUUGUGAUGUAAAUUCUCUGGUGAUUUGAUCGCGGAGACAUAAAGCAGGUGAUUGUUAUGUUUUCAGUUAGUCUGUUAACGACAUUGUAGUUUUAGAGGUUAAUGAAUGACAAUGACUACGAUUUUAUGAAGCAUAAAAGUCUAGAUCUAGUGGUUACGAAGUUGUUCUUUGUGUCUGACUUUUCAAUAGGGAAUUCAUGCGAGGUUUUGUGUCUUUUUUUGUUUGAUAUUGUCAUUCUCCAGCCUCUACUCUUCAUACAUUUUAUUUAAAUUAGAGGAGAAUCAACGAUUAGAAAGUAGGCUUAAUUUUUACUUUGUCUCCAAAUAUUCUACAUAAAAUCACACUUUUGCCACUCUACACUCUUUUCUUUCUCACUUUGAGUCCGAUGCUCAUCAUUUUGGUUUCAUUUUACUUCAUUUGAAGGAGGCGUUGGUUUUGCUCCUUCGUAUUUUCACCUUGUUUUCACAUUUAACACACAAAAUCACCUUGGCACAAAAAUCACCUUGUUUCCCCACCCAAAUUUUCCAUGAUUGUUACCAAAACUCACGCUUCUCUCAACUCUGUUAACGAAAUGGGGAAAAGUGUGAGAGCAACUUGUAUGCAAUUGGUUCACUCCAUUAUAGCGUUUAGGUCGAAGACAAAUACGUUUAGGCCCAAUAAUUUGUGUUGGAAAGAAAAACUUACACAUGAUAAUGCAUUCUUGAAGCGAUAUAAAAAAUAAAGCGAGACAUCUAAUCCAAAAAAAAAAAAAAAGAAGGAAUAAAUUGAGAAACCCACCGUUUGCCACGUUUACUUAUUGCACUGCUCUCUUUCAGUCUUGCUUCUCACGCUUCAACAAAAAGCCAUCCUCGUGUUCGUCGGAGAACUCCCUUUGCUUGGAGAGAUGAUCGUCCUUCGUCCAAAACUCCAAACAGAAUGAGUCGCCAGUGCACUAUAAAUUAAGAUAGAAAUACCAAGGCACGAGCACAGAGAGAAAGAGAGAAGAUUGUCACUGGAUUUGCAGAAGAACCCCUCGCAUUAAUGCUGAUAAUUCUCUAUAUUCCUUAGGCAAUCUAGCCCCUGUAGAUGAUGAUGAAGAUGUUUUGCCUUUAGAGCUUGAUUUUCCGCUCAAGGACGACCCCGAUAUCGAUUGGAUCAAAAUGUUUGGUUCCUGUAAUGGGUUGGUCUGCAUUGUGCCUCAGCCAAAAUCCCUGCACUGCAGAGUCCUUCAAAAUACCAGAUUGCCCCAUCCCAAUUCAUGUUUGCCCUGAACCCGUAACGGGCUCGCGUCCUCAUCCUCAUGUCCACAGUUUUGGUCACUCCGUCCACCGAUGAUUACAAGUUUGUGAAGGUUGCUUAUGGAUGCAUGGUGCUUGUGUUGUCACUUGUCACUGAAAACCAAUUCAGGGACAAGGGUUCAAGACUUUCCUUACAUCUUUUGGAUAGUUACGGUCCUUACGGAGGGACAUUUGUCAAUGGAGCUCUCCACUGGUUAUGUAGGCCCCUCGGAGUUGGAGCUACCUCUGUCAUUGUUGUUCUUGAUUUAGCGCAGGAGAAUUUCUUAUAGUUGGAACCACCGGAUUCUGUCACAGAUUUUAAGAGAUUUUCGACUGACGUUUUGGGAGGGUGCCUUUGUUUAAUACACCUGAAAGAGAGAUGGUAAAAGAAUCUACAAACUGCUGAAAACCAACAUCUCAUUAAUCAUAAGGAUCCAAUUUACAAUAUUUUCCAAAAACAAUGUGGCUUGACAUCUACAAAAUACUUUCUUUCACCAAACGUGAGACGAACAAGUAUAUUAUUUUAAUUUUAGGGACAUAUCUCAAAAUGAGCCAAUUUUUUAAUCUUGGAAUAGAAAUAGGACAUUUUGAAUAUGCACAUGGCAUGCACACGCCAUGCACAACAAUUGGACAGAAAUAGGAUUUUUCCUACACCUUGAAAUGACCAAAUUGUUCUCCCAUAUAAAUGGGUUAUCUAGAAAUUCCAGCCUUUAUUUCUCAUUUUGUAGAGAGAGAUGGAGAGAGAGAAAAUCUCUUUCGCCCAAUUCCAAUUGGAAGAACCCUAACCCAUCCAUCUUCUUCAUCCAAGAGCUCUCUUUAACCCACCUAUCUUCUUCAUCCAAGCUCUCUCUCUUUUUCUCUCUCUCUCUCUUUGUCUCCUAUCUUUCUAAAUUUCGAAUAUGCAUAAGAGCUCUCUCUCUAACAUUCCCAUCUUCUUCGGAUUUUACCUUUUCAUUUGUAGGUUUUGUGAACUGAGUUAGCUUAAUUUUGCUUUUUGAUUGAUGGAUUUUUGAAGUUGAAGUGAUUUGUUUGGUGUUUCUUAGAGGAGACCCAUAUCCUUCAUUUUUUAUUUUUUACUUUUUUUAUCAUUUCUCUUAUUUCUAUGUGGGUUUUCAUUUCUUCUGCCUUCUUCCUCCCUCUGCUCCCUCUCUCGAUCCAAAUCUACAAGCACUAAAAUAUGAUUUGACUUUUGCUGCAGUUAAAUGAAAAAAACGUAUUAAGUGUCAGUUGCCUUUUGGAGAAGAGAUAAAUUUGAGGGAAAAGAGGGAAAUCAGAGUAGAAAGAAGGAAGAGAGAAUGAUAUAGACGAAAUUAUUUCACGUACUCAUUCGUUCUUUUCGUAUUAAGCUCGCUUAUACACUGUAUGUACACGACAUGCACAUGUUAUGCUCACAAAUUUGAGCUCAACCAAAAAAUUAGUGAAAUUUGUGAAUUUUUUUCCGUAAUGUGCAUGUGAUGUGAUGUGCAUAUGGUGUGCAUGGCUACAUCUUAAUAUGAGAAGCAGUAAUGUUCACUAGUUAUGAUGCAUGUAUGUUGUGUCCUGGAAUUUAGCGAAUAUGACCACAACCUAGUUGGCCUCGGCAAAAAAAAAAAAAAAAUUAAGAAAAAGCUUAGAGGACGUUAAGGAUCAUGCAUGUCCAUGAAAUAACAACAACAAGUGUCAUGUUUUCCACGUGCAAGGUUAAGCGGUGACUGAUGUACAUAACAAAACUUUUCAAACUACCGUUGUAACCUUAUAUAUGUAAGAAUUAUGGUUUAAUAGUAUCCACUAUACUAAUAGGUUGUCCUUAAAGUUUCUUAUUAAUGCGAAAAACAGCUCAUUGAUCGGUCUCCAAUUCUGUGCAUAUCAUGUGCAUGUACUAUACAUAUGAUGUGCAUGUGGUGUGAUAUAGUGUAUAUGGUGGUGACGUCACAGGUAAUGACAUCAUUUUUUUUAUUUAAAAAAAAGAGCUAUGAGCUCUAGAUUUUUGGGUUGGCUCAGAUCUGUUAGCAUAUUAUGUGCAUGUCGUGUACAUAUAGUGAGCAAAUCCUGAAAAAUUCAUCCAACAAAACACCAACAUUUAAUGAAUGGACUUUGUUCCCACCCUCGAUGCGAGUCCAAUGGUGGUGGUCUCGAGCCUCGGUUGUUUGCCGUGUUGUUGGAAAAUGGCCACAAAACUCGCGGCCUACUUGAGUUUCGAUCCCAACGAUCGGGGAUGUGAUUUGUGAUAAGGCUAGGUGUUUUGGACUCAUGAGGACGAGAUGAAAUUGGUGGUGGCUUCGAUUUGGAUGGUGUUGGUCUGGACGAUAGUGCACCAUGUAUGCACAAUGAGAAGGGGAGAAAGAGUGCGUGAGGAAGAAAGUGAAAGAAGGGAGAGAGAGUACAAAGAGAAAUCAGAAAAUAUGAGGAAAUAACCCAUUUAUAGUUGGGUAUUUUAGUAAUUUCAGUUUUGUGCAUGGCCGGUUGUCCUAUUUUUGUCCCAAGAUUAAGGAAUUGUCUCAUUUUGAAGUAUUUCCCUUUAUUUUAUUCGUAGGCAUUAAUACGAUGCUCUAUACAAAGAGUUGGGAACUCAAGUAGUUAAAGUAUUUUCUUUGGAUAUAGUGUUCUGUAUUCGUUUCUCCUCCUCCUCAAAGACAAAUGUGGUGCCCUACGUACAUAUACAAGCUUGUAACUCGAAGUGCGGUUAAAAGUACUAUCUCUUGACGGUGUUCUGUAUUCGAUUCUCCAUCUCUAAUACAAAUGUGAUGCUCUACGUACGGAUUGGAUACUUCUUCCAAACUAUAGAAUCAGUUUUUCAAGUUUAUGGAGCCAAAGCCAUAAAAAUCAGACAGAUCCAAGACCCAUGAAUUAGCAACAACCCCCUCUACUAUCCUCAAUUUCCCACCCCACCCCACUCCACUCACUCUCUCUUCCUAUAAAAAUAUAAAUAAUGUUAGGAAAACUAAAUUUUUAAACCAAAUUUUAUAAACCAAAUAAUAUAGACGCUGAUAAUUAAAUUAUUACUUAAAUAUUGAUUAACGUACUUAUUUUUUAUUGAUGAUAUAUCAUUUAAUUUAUAAAUAUAAUUUAAAAUUUUGAUUUCCUAACAUUACCUUUUACUCCUGAAAAUAUUGAUACCCCAUUCCACUCUCUCUUCCCCAUAAAAAUAUUGAUUAAAGCUUAUUAAAAUAAGCGCACAAGCUGGUCACUUUACCAGCUUUAAUUUCAUGGGUUUCUUCUAUAGCAGCAGCAAACACUUUGCUGCAAACAACCAAACUGGCAAUCUCAGAAGCUUUUGACCCGAUUCUUGCUCCAAAUCCGCUGAAUUGUUAUCUGGGUCUUUUUCUCUGAGGUGUUCUGUGAUUCUGAGGUUCCUGCAAGAAGAAUCCAUAUCAUAUUUUUGUGUUCUGCAGCAGCUCCGCCAUUGCUGAUCAGUGAGCUUUCUUCUUUUAACUCAGUUUAUGUGUUUGAGUUUUUGUUCAAGUUGUUGUAUUUAGUGGGUGAGUUAGUGAUUUCAGUACUCAUGACUGAAAAAAGUUUGCUUUUCUGGUUACUGCUGGGUUUGCUUUUUUCUUUUUUGAUUACAUGAGCUUGAUGAAUUGCUUGUUGUAUGUUGCCUUUGUGAUUGGAUGUUACCGUUUAACGGCGAUCCGAAACGAUUUUUUCUACUGCUUGUGUAAAAUUUGGAACAUUUUGGUCAUAUAGUCUUUCCGCAAGCUUCUUUGCUACCCUCCACAGCUUCUGCUGUGCGGUUGGUGAGGCAGAAGAAGAUCAAGGAAUGUGAAAGUUCUUAUUUUUCAUAAUCUUCGAGUUAAAAAGCGAAUGUCGAAGUCAGUCUUAGCUUGAUAUGAUUUUUUAGAGCUAGAAAGCAGAAGAUUUUACUUUAUUAUACUCUUCAUUUCUUCCUUUUUCUAGGAAACAAGACAUAAUUGGGGAGGGAAAUCAUUUCUUUGUCAAAUCUCAUUACUUGAUUUUAGGAACUUUUCUGUAUUAAUCUCCGAUUUGGGUGGUGCUCAAAAGUUGGAUGGUGCUCUUAAAGUUGUUUUGGGGCUUAUAGCAUGCUUUUCUUGUAUGUGUAGUGGAAAACAUCACAAUUAUAUGUAAUGUUGAAACUUUUAGGUGUGUUAACCUUGCUGUUACUGUAGGAGGAUGUUUCAUAAUCCAUUUGUCUUUUGGGGCAUGUCUUCACUCUGCAGUCUGCACUUAAUUGGGGAUUGUAUGGUCCACUCAAUCCCUGUCAUGUCUAAUACCGGAUUUAAUAUUGUCUUGCUUGAAUUUCUGCCGAGCAGUUUAGCGUAUUGUGAUUGCAACCUAAAAUCUCCUGUUUUUUCUGUUCAUUUUUGUAAGUUACAGUAUUGUUACCUAGUACCGUCCCUCCAGUUUUUUUUUUCACUCUGUUAUCGUGUUAGGAAAACCGGAAAGAUGGAGCGGAGUAGAUUUAAUAUGAGGAUGCGUUGUUCGGCUUCAACGCUAUCAGAUGAGUCGGCCUUGGAUCUUGAGAGAAACUGUUGCAGUCAUUCUAAUUUACCUUCGUUAAGUCCACCAACGCUUCAACCCUUUGCAUCAGCUGGACAGCAUUCUGAGACUAGCGCUGCUUACUUCUCGUGGCCUACCUCAAGCCGAUUGAGUGACGCUGCUGAAGAGAGGGCAAACUAUUUCACUAAUCUACAGAAAGGGGUCCUGCCUGAAACUCUUGGUCAGUUGCCAAAAGGGCAGCAAGCGAAUACAUUGCUUGAACUGAUGACUAUAAGGGCAUUUCAUAGCAAGAUUUUGCGAUGUUAUAGUCUUGGAACAGCAAUUGGGUUUCGUAUUAGACGGGGUGUGUUAACUGACAUACCAGCUAUUCUUGUCUUUGUUUCAAGAAAAGUUCACAAGCAAUGGCUCAGUCCAAUACAGUGUUUACCCACUGCCCUAGAGGUCAGGGAAGAAUGUUAAGAACGCUUCAAUUGUUCAUUCAUUUGUUAGUCGUCAAGUUUGUUUUGGGUUAUCGAUGCCUAUUCCAUCUGAAUUUACUUGUGUUUAGAAGUUUAGUUAAAACAAUUCUUUCUAAUUUAAUCAGGGACCUGGAGGUGUAUGGUGUGAUGUGGACGUUGUGGAAUUCUCAUAUUUUGGUGCACCCGAGCCAGCUCCCAAAGAACAAUUGUACACAGAAAUUGUAGAUGAUUUGCGUGGAGGUGAUCCAUGCAUUGGCUCAGGUUCUCAGGUAUGUUUAGGUUACCUAUUGAGCUUGUCAUGUUUCAUGGUGUAAUCUAGUAAACCAAAACAAAUGGGGGCCAAGUGAGGAGCAAUACCUUGAAAUGACAACAACUAAAUAUUAAUUAGCUUUCCCCUGUUACAACAACAACAACAACAAAGCCUGAAUGCCGGUAAAGUGUUGUACUCUUAAAAUGUGAUACGCGAGUAUUAAAGUGCAUUUUUAUUCUAAUACUGUCUACUGCAUUACUGUUAUCCCAUCCUUAUUCUGGCAACCUUUUAAUUAUGAAUGCCGGUAAGUACAUUGUUUGUUUGCUUGUACUCAGGUGGCAAGCCAGGAAACUUAUGGAACAUUGGGUGCGAUAGUAAGGAGCCAAACAGGCAAUCGGCAAGUUGGUUUUCUCACAAAUCGGCAUGUUGCAGUUGACUUAGAUUACCCAAAUCAAAAGAUGUUUCAUCCCCUGCCUCCUUCGCUUGGACCUGGGGUAUAUCUCGGUGCAGUGGAGAGAGCUACCUCAUUUAUCACAGAUGAGCUUUGGUAUGGCAUCUUUGCCGGAAUUAACCCAGGUAAAUAUGGAAUUAAAAGUUGGUAAUACAACUUAUAUUGCUUUUGGAGAUGGAUUUAAUAAUAUUUUCUCUCAAGGGUGCUCAUCAAUCCAAAUUUGAGUAGCUUGACUUUGUUUCUUUCACCGUUCUGUCAAGUUCCAAGUGGAUAUCUACUUAGCUAAGUUGAGCAAGCUCUGGUAAAGAAAUUCACAGUUUAAAUAUAAAGAUUACAAGCACAAUAUUGAAUGGUGAUACAUAAUGAACGAAGGAAAGGGAGAAGGAAGAGAAACAGUUAUUCAUGAUGAUUCAUGUUAUUGCAGAGACGUUUGUGAGAGCAGAUGGGGCAUUCAUUCCUUUUGCUGAUGAUUUUGACAUGUGUACUGUUAUUACAUCCAUGAAAGGAGUCGGAGAGAUUGGCAACGUUAAGAUUAUUGACUUGCAGUCUCCGAUCAGUACCCUUAUUGGAAAGCAGGUGAUGAAGGUUGGACGAAGUUCUGGUUUGACUGCUGGAACUGUGUUGGCCUAUGCUCUCGAGUACAAUGACGAGAAAGGCAUAUGCUUCUUAACUGAUUUUCUUGUUGUUGGUGAGAACCAACAAACAUUUGACCUUGAAGGAGACAGCGGGAGCCUCAUAGUACUUAAAGGUGUGAAUGGUGAGAAGCCACGUCCAAUUGGGAUCAUAUGGGGCGGUACUGCUAACCGAGGACGACUUAAAUUAAAAAUUGGUCAACCUCCUGAGAAUUGGACAAGCGGGGUUGAUCUCGGACGUCUUCUGAAGCUCCUUGAACUUGACAUCAUUACAACUGAUGAAGGGCUUAGAGGUUUGUGCUUUGGAAAUGGCCCUUUUUGCUGGUUUCCACCAUGAUCAAUGCAUUGCAUUUGUCUAUUUGUAGUUAGUCUGCAUAUCUCUGAUUGAUUCGCUCAUUUUCCUUGCAUAUAAUUCAUAGAUUGUAGCAUGAAUUAUUACAAAUUUGGGUAAAUGUUAACUGCAGUGGCUGUACAAGAACAAAGGACUGCUUCAGCAACGGCAAUUGGAUCCACUGUCGGCGACUCUUCCCCUCCAUAUGCGAUGCUUCGAAAGGAAACAUCUGAGGAGAAGUUUGAGUCACUGGGUCUUCAAAUUCAGCAUCUUCCUUUAGAAGUGGAACCCAGCAGCCCACCUAGGAAUCCGUCUCUAGUGGAAACAGAGUUUCAUCUGGAAGAUGGGAUCAAGACAGUCCCCAGUGUCGAACAUCAGUUUAUACCAAGCUUCAUCAGAGGCUCCCCACUACAUAAAAAGUACCAGAUCGAUAGAACAGCUUCUGAGAAUCUUUCGUCGCUAAGGAAUGGCUGCGACGAAGAUAUUUGUUUUUCACUGCAGUUGGGCGACAAUGAGGCCAAGAGAAGGCGUUCAGAUGCUUCAACCAGUGCUGAAGAACGAAAAUGAACUAGAUUACUAGCUUAAGCUUGGGGAACCAACCCGUUAUGCAUGAUAGGAAUGCUAUUUUGAGAGAAUUAUGAUGAAGUUGAGCUACAAUGAUGUUUGGAUCCAAGUUAACAUUUCUUGUACUGUUGAUUUCUCCUAGAUCAAAGUUGAAGAUAAUUAGUAUGCACAACUAAACUUCUAUGAGGUUUAGCAAUACAUACUCCUUUGUGUCACUUUAUUUCCUUCUGUUUUGUGCCAAUGUGCCCCCUCUAAACUUCAACUUUGUGUUUUAAAGUUUCAUGCCAUCAUCUCCUUUGUGCCACUUUAUUUCCUUCUUGAUUUCUCCUAGCUUGUAAGUUGUUUAUACUGUUGAAUUUUAUUUAAUUAGCUAUUUUAAUAAAAAAAUUUACAAAAAUACAAUUUUUACCAUUUUUUUGUACCAACUCUCUAAUACAAAUGGGACCACAUGUGUUGGUAAGCGUUAUCUCUAUUAGAGAGAUGGUAUAAAUGAUGAUAGUUUACUCUUUUACGUCUUAUUCUUUAUUUAUAAUUUUUAUUCUUUAUUUAUUUUUGUUUAAAAUAUAUUUUUUAUUUUAAAAAUUAAAGAAGCUAGCCUUUCACAUGCGUGCGAGAUGUCUUUUUUUAAAUCGGACACAACACGUUUCCAAAAAUGUCCUGCGUUAGUUCUAUUUCAUUGUAAUUGUCAAAAUGCAUUACUGAACAAUAAAACAACUAACGCAAGACAUCUUCAGUUGUUUUUCCUUGUAUUGCAUGAAGAUUUGAUGUGUCUAUUGCCUGAGGAAUUACAUACUCAAGGGGGAGUGUUGUAAUUAAUAUUUAACAUAGUGUGAUUGUGUAAAUUCUAAAUAGAGAUAAAUUAAGAAUCUUUCAGCAUCUUGAAGAUCUUCCUAUUAAACCUUGUAUUACUUUGAGAGUAAGUUAAUCUCUCAUCAUUAUUAUAAAUAAAGGCACAAGGUCUGCAAAUAAUACACAUAAUUCUUCAAGACCAUUCUCCAAUUCUCUCUUUCUGUCUAUGCCACACAUUCUCCUUCUCUCAAAAAAAUAGGUCACAUCAAAAUUUUGAUAUUGGAUCUUUGAUAACAAAUUUAACAACCUGAGAAUUAAACCACAAAUACUUAAUGUUAGCCCUUCAGUCAAAUCCUAAUUGUUAAUCUAAAAUCAAUCCAAUCCUAAUCACCCAAUAUAACUUAUAGGUUAUAAUAGACCAUCUAUGAUGCCUUUCGUUUGGAAUUUGGGGCAUAAAAGCGGAUGCGUACCCAUAUUUUGUGAUAGUGUACGUGUUUCUAUGCAAAUCGUAUUUCUCCUCAAGGUGGAGCCCACUUUUGAAUUUUAAAGUUAGGCCAAAAGUCACAGUUUAUUAUAAUACUAAUUUUGGGAGGUCUAUAAGUGGAAUAAGCCGAAUAUGAUAAAUGGUAAUGGAUAAUGUCACCCUUGCGGCUAAGGUUUUCAUAAUUGAUUGACAAAAUAAAGGAUAAAAGGAGGGAAAAUUGUUGAGUAUUUCGAUACUCUCUUUGAUAAUUUUACUAUUUGAGUUUAUAGUUUAAGGUGUAGGGUUUAGAGUUUACGUUUGAGCUUUGUGUUUUGGGUUUAAGGUUUGGGUUUUAGAAUUUAGGGUUUAGGGUUUGGAUUUGGAGUUAAGGGUAGGGUUAGGGUCUAGAGUCUAGGGUUAAAGUUUAGGGUUAGUGUUUAGGGUUUAGGGUUAUGAUUAGGGUUAGGAUUAGGAUUUAGGGUUAGGUUUCAAAGUUUAGGGUUUCGGGUCUACGGUUUAGGGUUUAGGGUUAGGGUUAGACUUUAGGGUUUAGGGUUAGGGCUAGAGUUUAGGAUUUAGGGUUUAGGGUUAAGGAUUUGAAGUUUGAGGUUUAGGGUUUAGGGUCAUGUUUGGAGUCUGUAGGGUUAGUGUCAAAAUUUAGGGUUUAGGGUUAAGGUUAGGGUUAGGGUUUAGGGUUAGGAUUUAGGCAUUAAGGUUUAAGAUAAAGGUUAGGGUUUUAGGGUUUAGGGUUAGGCUUAGGGUUAUAGUUUGGGAUUUAAGGUUAGUGUUUAGGGUUUAGAGUUAGGUUUUGGGUUUAGGGUUAGGUCUUAGGGUUAAUGUUUAGAGUUUAGGGUUAGGUUUAGGGUAGGGUUAGUUUUUAGGGUUUAUGUUUAGAGUUUAGGGUUAGGUUUAGGGUAGGGUUAGUUUUUAGGGUUUAGGGUUUAGGGUUUCGAAACGGUUUGGGUUUGGGUUAAGGUUAGGGUUUAGGGUUUAUGGUUAGAGUUAGAGUUAGGUUUAGGGUUAGGGUUUGGGUUUAGAGUUUAGGGUUUAGGGUUUAAGGUUAAGUGUUAAGAUUUAGAGUUUAGUAUUUAGGGUUAGGGUUUAGGGUUUAGUGUUAGGUUUAGGGUUUAAGGUUUAUGGUUAGGUUUAGGUUUUAUGGUUUAGGGUUUAGGGUAUAGGGUUUCGGGGUUUAGGGUUUAGGGUUUAGGGUUUAGGUUUAGGAUUAAGGUUUAGGGUUUAGGGUUAGGGUUUCGGGUUUUGUGUUUGCGUUUGGGUUUAGGGUUUGUGUUUCUGUUAGGGUUAGGGUUAGGGUUUAUGUUUCAGUUAGGGUUAGGGUUUAAGGUUUAUGGUUAAGGUUAGGGUUAGGUUUAGGGUUAGGAUUAGGGUUUAGAGUGUAUGGUUUAGGGUUUAAGUUUAGAGUUUAGGAUUUAGUGUUAAGUUUAGGGUUUAUGGUUAGGUUUAAGGUUUUACAGUUUAGGGUUAGGGUUUAAGGUUUAGGGUUAGUGUAGGGUUUAGGGUCAAGGUUUAGGGUUUAGGGUUUAGCUUUAUAAACAACCUACUACAUGGGUUUUUUAUUUUUUUAAUUAUAAUUUUCAUUCAAAAUUCAAACUGUCUUAAAUAUUAUCUUGUCCCUUAUAAUUUAAGUUGCCUUUUUUUAAAUUAAAAAAAUUAAAAAAAAAACUUUAAUAAGGAGGGACAUUUUGUGGCAUUUUGAAUGUUUCACCAUUUUAUUAUUUUCUUCCACUUAGUACUAUGGUCUUGUGGUAUUCAUCUUCACUUAUAAAUGAGAGGCCUUAGGUUUGAUUCUCUUUAAAGGCGAAUUUGAAUCACAUUAUUGCUAGCCUAUUGUGAGGCUCAACCCAUUCCCCACCCCUUAAUAUAAUAUCGUUUGUUCAAAAGAAAGAGAAACUACUCGCUACGAGUGUACAUAGAUAUUUUUUUUUCUGUUAGUUUGGGAUUAUUAUAUACUUUUCAAAAACGCGUUUUCUCCUUCUCUCUCUAGUUUUCCUCUCUAUGAAAACUUUCUCUUUGAAACACCAACUCAGUUUCUCCUUCGUUGUUGACCCUAACCUUUGGCUUGGGUACAGGUGGGAGCCCACCCAUAUUUUCUUCUCCUUUCUUCUUUCUCGCAGCCCUUUACACCUUCCCACCCCUCAUUCUACUUCUCUCCCAUCUUCUCUGCCUUUUCUCUCUUUUCCUCCAUUCCCUUCUCUUUUGCCUUUUCCCUUUUUCCUCCUCUCCCAUCUCCUCUGCCUCUUCCUUCUUACAACUUCCCAUCACCUCUCCAUUCCCACUUUCCAGGCUUCUUGAGUUUGGUCUCAAUAACCCUGAGUUUGUCUCAGGUUUGGGCUUUAAGCCUCUUAUCUAGCGUUUUUCGUGCUAUUUUUACUAUUCUCUGUUUGUUACCUUUCCUUUUUCCCUCAUCUUUAGCCAUUAUAUUUCAUCCUUACCCCAUCAUGUGCUCGAAUCUGCGGGCUCCAAUUCAAAUUAGAUAUCAUAUCCAUUUUCCUCCCUCAUUUUCCCUCACAUAAUCAACAUGUUGAAUCUCUAUCAAGGCCAAGUGUUUUAUGGCCUUUGUCACCUCAUAGCCUCACCUUCUAUCCAUAUGGUACUUUGUUUGGAUAUGUUUGCAGAAGUUCGUGAAGAAAAUUUGGAUUUGGUGUCGACUUUCUCAGUUCGGAGUUUGGUGUCUUUAAGGACGAUGCGGCAUUAGUGAUUUGGUUUAUGCUACUCCAGAUUAGGGUAUUUUGUUGUUUGCUUUUCUACCUACAGACCUAAGUUUAUGUGGACAUCCUGUUGUAUCUUGAGUUGCAGCUCUCAUCUUGUUUGGGUCUUUUACCUUACCUAUUGUUUAUCUUCAACCGACUUGGCCCAAAAUGCCAUAGGGCUAAAAAUAGCUUGAUAUGACACGAAAACGGUCUCAAACCGAGGGUUAGGCCAAAAGGCUUGUGGGCCCCACUGGGCCAAAAAUAUGAAAUCAAGCCAACCGGCUGGCCCAUUCCAGCCAGCCCAAAAAAAUUGAAUUUUUUAUUUUUUUUAGACGAAUUUAAAAAAAACAUCUAAUUUUUUUUCCUAUAAAUACCUAAGCCAUUCCUACACCAUUUCUCACAUAAUUUUCACCAUUUCAUACUAUCUUACCUCAUUUUAUUUCAAUUAUUCACAACAUUAAACUUAAACAACAUUAAACAACACAAUCUCCAUCCUAGUACUACGUGGGGGAGUUAUUCAAACUUAAACAACAUUAAACAAAAUAAAAUGAAACGCAUACUCCAUGGUUCUUUUGGCCCAAAGAUGUGCAACAAGAUCCUGUUGUAGGUAAGUAGACUCAAACAUACCAUAUGUAUCAUCCAUCGCAUCAGCUAGGGAGGCAUAGGCCAGCAUUCGGAGUGCAAUAGUAACCUUUUGAUGAUGCGAGAAACCAAGGUGGCUUGCUAUAUCCAUCUUCUAUUGAAAGCAUGGUCUAAAAUAUCCAUAAUAUCCAGAUAUUUCCAUCGAAAUUUCCGUGUUUUUGGACUACCGAUAUUUCCGAUAUCAUCGAUAUUUUAGACCUUGCUAAGUCACUCAUGUAUCUUACUAUGCAAUGUAUAAAGUGUAAAAUAUUGUACUAAUUCAUUAUAUAUAAAUGAUUAUGGUGUGUUUAAACUUCUUUCAUUAAUUACUACAUAUUUUCUAUACUCACAAUGUUUGCCAGCACGCUAUAUAAUCAACUUAAAUCAAUUAUAUCUAUCAUGCAAUGCAUUUCUUUCCAAUUUUUUGUGAUAAACUAAUAGAUAAUUGACUAAAUAAACAUCCUGCAAAGUUUCAAUAAAAAUUUCCAAGUUUUUCUUACAAUUUCCGUGGUUUUUAUUCAAUUUUUAUCGAUAUCGAUAAUAUCCCGAUAUUUCCAUCAAAAUUUCCGUGUUUUUGGACUAUCGAUAUUUCCGAUAUCAUCGAUAUUUAAUACCUUGAUUGAAAGUAUGGAUUAACAUGUUGGACAUCGUGAAGUAAACACUCGAAAACAUAACGCCUCUUCCGGAAGCGACGUCUGAAAUCCUCGUCUGUGUACACCGAGUUGGACUUGAAGUAGUUGUUCAUCAGAUUCUCAUGCGUCAUCUCUCUAUUUCGUAGUUUGUAAGAGCGACCAGCAAUAGAACCACCCCAUUGAGGUUGUUCUUCAGUUUCUUCACACGCCAUAACCCCAGUCAUUGCUGCCACAUAUGUUGUGUUGCGCCAUACUUCAUCUUCUUCAUCAAACUCCUCAUCUUCUAAUCUCAUUUGCGCCCAUUGAUCUUUUAAUUCGGAAUUGGAUGAGGAUCCCCAGUUGGAAUGUGAGGAGGAUCCAAAGUUGGAAUUCAUUACAAACUUGAAUUGAAAGAGAUAUUGGAGAGGGCAAAGAUGAAUGUGUGAAUUCAACCCCAACAUCCAGUCAAUUCAUUAACAUUGGAAGCUGAAGAUAAGAAAUGUCACGUACAUAAGAAUCCUAUUUAAAAUUUGCACAACCAAUUACAUCUCGACAUGUGACACUCAAAAUCCUAUCCGAAAAAUUAUUCAGAUUACAUAAAGAUAAGAAAUCUAGAGAGUUACUCACUUUAGCGACACGUGACACUCGAAAUCAUAUCCAAAAAAUUAUUGAGAUUAUAUAAAGAUAAGAAAUCAGGAGGCUUAUUCAUUUGGUGACAAGUGACACUCAAAAUAUGUCUGAAAACCUUAUUUUAAUAUGGUCGUUUAAUUUAAGUAACCAUAUUAAUUCAAUUAAAAUAAUAAAUUAUGUUUUGCCUAUGACCCUUUGGCCCCUUCGGUUAGAGAUGAUUUUUUGCUAAAUGGCUAUGUUUGGUUUAUGACCCUUUGGCCCCCUCGGUUGGAGAUAAUAUAAAAUAUGACCUGAUAUUGUUUAUUAAAAUAUUAAUUUCUUGUAGGAUUGACGCUCGUUCAGUUGGAGAUGGCUAAUGAAAGUAAUCUUUACUAAUUAAUAAAACACUCAUUGUCAACCAAAACUCAAUGAAAUUACCAGUUUAACCCUCUAAUUAAAACAGAACAUGAAUAAGAAAUAUGGGACAAAAAUGUAAUAUCUCACAACCAAAUUUUUCUGUAUUUUUUUUUUCAAAUCAUCACUUACAUGUAAUCCUCCUAACAUAUUUCUAAUUAAAAAAAAUAAAAAACUUCUAAAUUUCUAUAACUCUCUUCCUCUCUCCUUCUAUUUCAAAAAUAAAAAAUAAAAAAAUUUCUCAGAGCCUGCUAAAAAAACGUUUGAGAUAAUAAAUGAUGAUAACGUAGUAAGCCACCUUCACCAUCUUCUUCUCUCUGGACACUUUACCAGCGGGGUUUAUCCAGGUUUCCGUCUCUGUCCGCCAUGGCGAAGCCAACCCGAGCCCGUCGCUCGCCGUCAGGCUCCGCAUCCGGCUCAUCCUCCCGCUCCCGCUCGCGUUCCCGCUCCUUCUCAGGCUCCGACUCCCACUCCAGCCCGCUUUCUCGCUCCCGAUCUCGCUCCAGGUCCUUCACCUCUUCCUCCUCUCCGUCUCGGAGUGGCAGCUCUCGCAGCCGUAGCCCCCCUGCCUCCAGAAAAAAGUUUGAUUUCCGUUUCGCGCUUCUAAUUUGACACUCUAGGGUUUGUAUGUGCUGUUUUGUUGCUUAGAAAAAUCGGAAUAAAUUCGCAAAGGAAUAUUAAACAAUUUUAGACGAACAAAGACACUGAAUUGAAUGGAAUGCCGAACAACCAAAACCCUAACUACAAUCAUAGAAAAGAAACAAGCCGCACCUAUAAAACACUGGCGAAUGCAAUAUAUAAGCAGUAAGCUAAGUAAAAAAAACUGAAAUUGAAUGUAAAGAACGUUGAUUCGACAUUCAUAUUUGUUGGUGAGAAAAUUUUCAAUCGACAUUAAGUAUUCAGCCUUUCUUCGCAAAAAGUAUGAAUUUUUCGUUAAGUAGGAAGGAUGAAGUAUUAAAAGUGGAACAACUCAAACGAACAGUUAUGAGUCGAUUAAUUGGUGAGGCUAGAGCAGUCAAACGAUAAUGUAUAUGUAUUGUUUAGAUUUUAAAUCAUGCAUCUUCACUUUUCGUUAUUUGGUUUUUUGUUGUUGUCGUGCUUUAAUGUGAUUAUGGAUUUGGUUAAUUCAGGUUUUCAUAAAGCCGUAUUGCUAAUUAAACUGAUUUGUUUUUCAUAGUCCUGAAGUUGCUAAACGAGGUCGUUCUCCACCGCCACAAUCUAAAAGGGCAUCUCCACCCCCAAGGUAUUGAUAGUUUUCUUCUAUGUAUUUGUAGGGGUUUCUUAGUGGUUUUUGUGCUUAUCAAUUUUUUUGGGGCACAUUGAGAAGUAGAAUUUGUUAGUCAAUUUGACGUAGACUUUGAUUGGGGUCAAGUGACUGUUCAUGUACAUACGUAUUCUAUGAGUAUGAACAGCAUCCUGUUUGUAAUUUAGUUUUGGUAAUCCAAAAAGUUAUUGACUCAAAUUAUGUUGAUGUAGAUAUUCUUUUUCUCCUUUUUUUUACUGCAAUUGACAUUUGGAUAUGAGUUUUCUCUUAGAAACCUUAUUUUCCACUUGCUACCUGGAGUCUCCUAGAUAUUGAGUUCUUACUGGUCUUUAUUUGAUAGAUUUCUUUUGAGUAGAUCCACUAAGUUUUGCUUUCUCAACCCCCAUAAAUUCCAAUCCACAUCUUUCAUCUGAUAACAUGUCACAUUUCAGGAAAGCUUCUCCAGUUCAUGCAGUUCAUGAGUCACUUGUUCUUCACAUUGACGCACUAACAAGGAAUGUGCAUGAAGGCCAUUUACGAGAAAUAUUCUGUAUGUUUUUGUUUUGUAUCUAUACUAUUUGACUUCUAUUUGCAUCAUGAUAUUAUGUUGAUGAUUGAUAUACCUAAUUCCAUAGCAGUUGAUCCUAAGCUAAUUCCAUAUACAUUUAUUUAUUUACAUAAUAGCCUAUAGUGUGACUACUUUAAAAUCUUGCCUGAGGAGUCCAACAUAUAUUUUUAAAUGUCAGUAAGUGUCGCUCUUCUCCUCAGCCUGUGGGGAAAUUUUAAUUUAUAUUUGAUUUAAACUUUUAUUCUUUUAAAGUUUCGUUCUCUUUGGUUUUUUUGUUAUCUUUAUGCAAAAUUGUAAAAGGAUCCAUUCCAUGUAACCUUAAAGUAACUACUAAUGACUCCAUGUUUAGGCAAUUACAUGUGUCUGGUGCUCUGUAGCACCGAUCCUCAGAUUUGAUAACCAUAUGUAUGAAAAAGUGCUCACAUCUUAAGCUCGUAUAUGUUUUUUCUUCGCUAAAUAUUCAGAUUAACUGGGUCACGGGCAGUGUCUCUCAUUCCAUUUUGCAUACUUUGUAGGUAACUUUGGUGAAGUUGUCAAUGUGGAGCUGGCAAUGGAUCGUACUGUAAGUGCAUGCUAGAUUUAAUUCUUGACUUUGAAGUAUCUUUCUGUGCAACAAGUAUGUUAAAGUGCCUUCUUCUGCAGGUUAAUCUUCCAAAAGGAUUUGGAUAUGUUGAGUUCAAAAUACGAGCAGAUGCUGAAAAAGCACAAUUAUACAUGGACGGUGUAAGUUUUCUCGAAGAGUGGGAGUAUAACAGUUGCUAUAACUAUAAGACCAUUACAUAUUUUGAAUUGAUGUGGUGAAAUUCCUUGUUUCAGGCUCAAAUUGAUGGUAAUGUCGUUCGAGCAAAGUUUACAUUACCUCAACGUCAGAAGGUGUCUUCUCCCCCUAAGCCUGUUGCCACUGCUCCAAAGAGAGACACUGUGAAAACUGAUGGUGUCAGUGCUGACAAAGAUGCACCAAAGCGACCGAGGGAAGGUAUAAUUUUGUAUUUAUUCUUUUUAUAGCAUCAUAUAUUUUUUUUCUACAAUGUUAGUUAUCUAUCUUUUACUUAAUAAUAUCAGCUUCUCCUCGUCGGAGAGGUGCUCUCUCACCACGAAGGAGAUCACCUGUAUCUCGAAGAGGUGAAUCUCUAAGACGAGCAUUAGAUUCUCCACCGCGUCGUCAUGCUGCCUCACCUGCGCGUCCCUACUGCCGUGGUGGUUCACCUCCAAGGAGGAGGCUUGCAUCUCCAUCCAGAGGUCGUUCUGGAUCACCGCCACCAAGGCGACGUUCCCCUAUUAGGUAUAUUGAGGCAAUUUUGCAUUUUUGUAUCCUAAAUUGUUUGAGUUAUUUUUAAUGGUGUUUGACUAAUCAUCUUCUUGAAUAUGACCUCUCCAAGAAGGAUACAAGGAAGUCCCAUUCGUAGACGCUCUCCAGGACCCCCAAGGCGUGGGUCGUACCCAGUGCACAAGGCUCCCGCUUUACGCAGGGUCUGGGAGAGGUGAAUGUCGGCUAACCUUACCCCCAAGGCGUGGGUAAAUUUCUAAUUUUGUACCUAAAAUUCUUCACAAAUCGUGUGCUUACAAAAAUAAAUCAAGAUAUGGAUUUUUCAUAGACCAUGGAUUUCUGUUGAAUGGAAAGAGAUCUCGUGCUACUCCUGGUUGAUUUUACUGGUUUUGCGUGUUCUUCCAACAGUUAGUGAAUCUUUAUCACCAUGCAGAUUUGUUUAAUUACGUGUAUAUGUGUGCUUACUUUUUGUGGACCUAUGAUAUAUAAGUACUGUGCAUGUAAUUUCUGCAAAGAAAACUGAAGCCAGGAUAUUAAUUUCAAUUAUAAAAGUUUAUUUCUUUCUAGAAACAUAAAAGUCCUGGAAUAUAUUUAGCAAAUGUGCUUGAUAGAUGCAUAGCAGAGAUGACCCAAAAGGCCUCGGGUGUUUUGAUAAUCAGGAUGCAUCGUAUAAACCAAUGGUAUUAUCACGGAAUUUACAUGCUCCUUCGUGCACCUUUUUUAAUAAGAUCUCAGUUGUUAGGUAUGUAUUGGAGCAAAAGGGUUGAUGUCACUGUACCAAAUGUGCUUAGAAAUAUUAGCUGUCAAGCUAUUUUUUUCUCUUCGGUUUAGUUACUUUGAGUUUAUAGUUUGGUUUGAUCUCUUGUACGAAUUUAAUUCUUCAGUUCACCUACUAGACGGUUUCGUAGCCCUCCCAGAAGGUCUCCAAUUCGUAGGCGGACCCGUUCUCCCAUUCGUAGGCCUGGUCGAUCACGUUCAAGGUCAAUCUCGCCGCGGAGGUAACAUCAAUAUCCAUGUCUAAAGAAGUCUUUUGCUUUAUGCUUGAAGUGGAUCACGUUUCUUGAUAUUUCAUGUUCUCAAUUCACUGAAGUUGGGUGGAAUUGCAUUUACUAGUGCGUUGAGUUUGGAGUUUGUGAUGUUUAUUCGUACCUUGAUGAAAAUAAGGUUUGAACUCAUGUGCUGUAGUCUAAGCUUUUGCAUAGUUCUGUUGUUUGAAAUAAAGUUUCUUCUCCACCAAAAAAAAAACUCUUGUUGAUGUAUCUGUGUGCUUGAGGAGGCAGUGGUUUGUUGUGUUGUGAACACAAAGUUGUUAUGUUGGAUGAAGAAAGAAUGCAUGAAGUAAAUCUGGCCACCGAUGUGGUCAUCUAACAUGGAAUUUGCCAUUGAUUAUUAUUUUCCUUUAGGAUGCUACUUGUUUUUGUUCUUUUCCACAUCAGUAUGUUCCAAUGUAUGUGGUGGAAUAUAUGUUUGCGUACAUCUCAUUACUUGACCUGUCAAAGUUUUUUUUCCCUCCAAGUGAUAUAUGGUGGUACUAUCUUUGAGAACCUAUUUUUUUGAACUCUUGGUAUCUUGAUACUGUAUUAGUUACUACAUAUGUUUUUGGUGAUUAUUAUGUAUAAAGUACUAUCUUUUCUUCCCCUUUUUAGAUGAGAUGAUUUCAUUACAUAGUAGGUUCCUAGUUCCUACUCUGCAUUUUGCCAAAAUAUACCUUUCAAAGUUCUUAUUUUGUCAUAUUUAUUUUGAAAGAGUAGUAUGCUAGCUAAUAUGACUUAUACCUUCUUUGUUGCUUGUAUUCAACAGAGGUCGAGCACCGGCUACUAGACGUGGGAGGUCAUCGUCAUCUGGAUCACCUAGUCCACGACAGGUAGCUCUUACUAGUUUGUUUACAUUAAAAACAUGGCUUAUGGGAUACCUUACAUGGAUUAACUCUCUGCAAUCUAACAGGUACCCCGAAAAAUCUCUCAUAGUCCAAGAAGGUAAUUUUGUAAUUAAUUAAUUUUUACUUUUUGGGAGCAGCCUCUCCAUAAAUGGGGGUAAGGCUAGCCAACAUUCACCUCUCCUAGACCCUGCCUAAAGCGGGAGCCUUGUGCACUGGGUACGACCUUUAAUUAAUUUUUACUUUUAACUUUGAUCUGAAUGAACUUCAUUCUGGGCCGUUUGUAUCUGUUUUAGAAUCUCACAUUCGUUUAAGUUUGUUUUCAUCUGCAAUUUAUCCUUUUGGCUGUACUAUUUGUCUUUUUGGUAAUCAGUUUGUCUGAUCAUUUUUCUAUAAGUUCACAGCAUAUGUAUUUAUUAAUCGCAGAUUAAAAACCCAAUUGAGAUACAAAACUUGGGCCUAGUACUUGUGUAGUAACUUAAACAAAUUCUCAUGUUUUUGUGGACUGGGGUUGCUUGUUUUUUAACAGAUUUGGUACUUGGUUUUAUGUAG